rnacentral:rRNA from 1 species
AUUGAACGCUGGCGGCAGGCUUAACACAUGCAAGUCGAACGAGUGGCGGACGGGUGAGUAAUGUAUGGGGAUCUGCCUGAUAGCGGGGGAUAACUCCUGGAAACGGUAGCUAACACCGCAUUCCCUCAGAUGAACCCAUAUGGGAUUAGCUUGUAGGUGAGGUAACGGCUCACCUAGGCGACGAUCCCUAGCUGGUCGUAGAGGAUGAUCAGCCACACUGGGACUGAGACACUGCCCAGAUUCCUACGGGAGGCAGCAGUGGGGAAUAUUGCACAAUGGGCGCAAGCCUGAUGCAGCCAUGCCGCGUGUAUGAAGAAGGCCGUCGGGUUGUAAAGUACUUUCAGUCGGGAGGCGUUACCGACAGAAGAAGCACCGGCUAACUCCGUGCCAGCAGCCGCGGUAAUUC